AUUCUUAUGCACGGGAAAUACGCAUAUCAGUGAGGAUUCGUCCGAGAUUGUGUUAUUGCUGGUUGAAAUUUUAACCAUGACCCGCUCCUCAUAGUUUAAGGGCACUAUUGCCUGUUAACUAUGUAGGGAAUUUUUGGAAU